rfam:Thermovirga lienii DSM 17291, complete genome.
UCUGGUGGUCAUAGCGGAGGGGAAACACCCGGAUCCAUGCCGAACCCGGCAGUUAAGCCCUCCAGCGCCGAUGGUACUGCGAUGGGUAAUCGUGGGAGAGUAGGUCGCCGCCAGAA